AUGAUACUGAUUCAUUUGUCUUCUAUCUGAUCUGGUCUAUGGAAUGCGGAUCCUAUACAUGUCUUCUGGAACAUUGAAAUGAGGGAUAUAUGGUCAAGUGAUAUAUCUGAUGAUAACACCCCUGAUCUGAAAGUUAACUUGAUUGACCGUGCAACAAUCAAACAAAAACAUACAAGAUCAACCAUGCUAACUUAAACCAGACCCAAGAUGCUACCCUCAAUACACACAUUCUCCUAUUCCCAACAUGACCUUUUCUAUUACUGAUAAUCAUACUUCUUAAGUGAUCCAAAUCUUCUCAUGUAGUAAUUGGCUUGAAGAUUCAUUCGAAUAAUUACACUUCCCGAUGAAAGUUGGUUUCACAUUUCUCCACCGCUUUCUCUUCACAUAACACCACCUUAUGUUCUAUCCUUCCUCCGAAUAUCAUUUCCCUUCAUGUUCGCACUUAAGUUGUCUUCAUUGAGUUAUACCUUUCAUUUCAUGCUCCAUUCUACUGCUCACUCAUGAUUUAUAACUCUAUGAUUCUUUGGAGACCUUUAUCACUCGACGGACUCUUCAUGUUUCCUAUGGUCGGAAUUG
rnacentral:lncRNA from 1 species